rnacentral:lncRNA from 1 species
UUUGUUUCGUGUUUAACUCGUUUGUGAUGAAUUCGAUUUCUUGAUUCCAAUUUUUUCUAGCCCUAGUUCUUGAUAUCCGUUGCUCCGAUUUCGAUUUCUUCUACUCGUUCUUGAUAUCCUUUGCUCCGAUUGCUUGCUUCUUGAUGGCUCGAUUUCAGGGUUUUCUAUUAAAGAGAAUGCAUCCAGAUAGACAAAUCAAGUUUCUUCAAUGAGUCGUUCUUUUAUUUUUAUUUUUUUGCUUUGAUUGCAAGACAUACGAAUUGCGAACCUGUUUUUCUGCAGCAUGAUUUGUCGAAAUACUAACGUUCUUCACAGCUAAGAAUGGACGCUCGAAUUUUGUUUGGUUAUCUCUAGUAAAAAAAUAUUCGUUUCAAUCUUUCUUUUUAGAUUCUGAGAGCAUAUUUUCUUUAAGUAAAUUUUUUCGUUUAAAUAUUUCUGUUUUCAUUCUUGAUUUUGUUCAUCUUCGGUUAGGAGAGGUAAUCUGUGAACACACGGUUCCUUUUCGGUUCUAUCUUCCUCUUGUUUGAUCUUGAUGUUUGUAUUCUUAUUCUCUUAUCCUUUUAUCAUACAGGUUCUUGAUUUUGUUCUUGCUGGUUUCUUUCAUUGAGUUUGUUUUUCUUAUUUGCAUUAUCUGCUACUAUUUUUGAGUUCGUUGGGGGUCCUGAUGCGAGUUUUCUGUUUUUAGACGUUUUGCAAGACAUGGUCAUCAUUCAUCACCCCUGGUUGAAUUUACUGAAUUUAAUUUCUAUCAUUGAAUUGUGUUAUUUUCCUAUUAUGGCUUUGAAUGUUUUGAUCUCCAUACAGAUGAAUUAAAACACGAACCCGUUUUCUGCAGUGAAGGGUGUUUUGAAGUAAAAUAACGUUUUGUGUAGUAUCAAGCCUCAGGUUUACUUUUGUACACUCUUCUUGGAUUGUAAAUCAUUUUCAUUUCAUCUGUGAGUUUUUAUUGCUAGUGUUCUUGAUUUACUCCUUUAUGAUUUCCACUUGUGAAAUUUUCGGCUUGGUGUUGGUGGUUUUGGAGAGACUGAGACAGUUUGGUGAGCCUAUCUAAUUGGCGACUUGGUUUGGAGAAUUAUGCUAUUUGUCACCAACUAUUUGUCACAGCGUAAUCAUUCUGAUUAGCUGUUUGCUGGGACAACUUUGUUGGGAGAGGUUUCUGUUAUCGUCUUUUACUCAUUAGUUGUUUUUGUGGUUAUUUGUGAUUUACGAUGAUACUCCUAAAAAGAUAUCCUCUUUGUUACAGUGGCCCAAGGACUCAUCUGUAGUAAGAAGAAGCCAAAAUUGUGUCAUUUCAUAUGGAGUACAUGAUCUUGCAAGUUGGAUGGAAAUUUGUUCCAAUGAUUCAUAAGCUCUUGCAGGCUGUGUCGUAUACUUUUAGCUGUUGCUAGCUUUUAAUUCGGCCAUCUUUACUAAGAAUCUUCACAUUUCAUUAUUUGUUUGAUACUCAGCAUAUACUUUUGUCAGUUCCUUUGAGUUUUCUGUGUGGAAGUUACAGGGGAGAUAGCCUAUGACUGUGUAGUUUGCUGUGGAACUCGUGGCAGAAAGAGGUUCAGUUCUCAAACACCCUUAGGAUAAAAACGUUACAUAUCUAAUAUCUUACUGUUUUGGGAUGUUUGUCCUUUGAUGGAGUGCCCUGCUGGUUUUAGAUUUUUUGUGUUGCUGUUUCAGCAAGAUUCUAGAGCAUUGAAGCAUACAAGAUUCUAGACUGUACAUUUUCCCUCACCGAGGAUGUGGAAUUAAGGAUAAUUUGGUUUGUCAUUUUUUUGUUCUGUUGAUUUGCCACUUCCUUUGUCAUAUUUGUUUCUAUUUUCUUGUCAAUUGUGAUACUUAGGAGUAAGGUUAAGAAUAACAGUAUUAUCUCUAGGUGUACAUGAAUUCCUUCUGGUAUAGGGGCAAAGUCUAAUUUUGCAUUGGAGCACUGGAAUCUACAAUUGGUACAUAAACUCCUUCUGGUAUAGGGAUAAAGCCUAAUUUUGCAUAGGAGCUCUGGAAUCUACAAUUGGUUGUGUCCUAUAUUAUCACGAUUGUUGUUCUUUCAUUUGGUGAUCUCUACUUUGACUAUGUUAUUGUCUGGUUUCUUAGUCUUUUGAAGACUUGUUUUCUCGAUCUUUUGAGAGCUAUGUGUGGAUGUCACAGGGGGAUGUAGACAGUGAAAGCCAUGGCAUAGAUUAUCAAGGACGUGAUUUUGCUAUGGAGAGAGCCAAUGAAUGUACCAUGGGAUGUGGAAGCUGUUGUAGACAUUAUCAAGGACAUGCCUUUGGAUUUAAUGGGUCAUUUUUCUCCUUGAAUGUGUUUAUUCUGGAAUUCUAGAAUCGGAUAUCGUAUGAUAUUGUAAUGUGGCGAUGUUGAUUUUUGUGUUUUUUACUGUAGUUGUAAGAGAGGUUCUGAAGUGCAUGUACAUCUUUUUCAAGGAUAAUUUAAGACAUGCAUUUAUGUAUUUUGCAGUGAGUUGAAGUUUAGAUAUCUAGAACGUUGAGCCUUGUUGGACGGAUAAGAAAGGGAAAGCCCUAGAUAAAUCAAAUUUCUUCAGAGUCAUUAUAAUUGUUAUUUCUGGAUGUUGAUCGCAAAACAUACAAAUGAAUUGUGAACUUAUUUUUCUGCAGUGUGGUUUGUCAAUAUGAUAACCUUCUUCCAAGCAUCGAGCCUUGAGUUUUGAUUUGGUGAUCUCUAGUAUUAUCUUUUUGUUUCAGUAUUUCCUUAUCGAUUCUGAAAGCAUUUAUUUCUAAUUGUUAUUCCCCUUUUGAUUUUGCAGGGGUGGUAAUAUGUAAAACACACAAUUCCUUCUGGUCCUAUCUUACUGGUUGAUAUUUUCUAUUUUCCUUCUUUUCUCCUUGGUUAUUAAUGUCAAUUGUGAUACAUAAGAAUAAUCAAGGUAUGCUCUUAAAAAGGAAGACAAUUGUGAUUCUCAAUAGAAUGAAUAAGACGGAGAACUGCUCUAGAUAUAAUAAUCAAAUUUCUUCAGUUAGUCGUUCUUCAUUUUUUAAUUUCUGGCUUUGAUCAGAAGAAAAAAGAAUAUAGUUGUGAGAAUAUUUUUCUGCAGCGCGAUUUGUCAAACUAAUAAUGUUCUACAUGGAGUGUGCUUUGAUGUUUGAUUUGGUGAUCUCUAGUAAAUUCUUUUUGUUUUCAAUAAUUCUCUAUCAAUCAAUUCUAAAAGCGUAUUUUAGUUGAUUUGUUGUUUCCUUUUUUGUGUUGCAGGAUAGUUAAAUCUAUGAACAUGUUAUUCCUUUUGUUUCUAUCUUGCUUUUGUAUGAUCUUUCAUGUAUUGUAUUUUGAUUAUUUUCUGUUUUCUUGAUUCUGAGUUUUGAUUUGGCUCUGGAUUUCAUCGCCGUACACGUGGAAUUGAAAUAUGAACUUUGUUUUUGUAGUAUAGUUUGUUUCGAUACAUUAACAUUCUGUGUAGAGUACCAAGUCUCAGUUUUAAUUUGGUACCCAAUACUAUAUUAUUAUAAAUUAUGUCCAUUUCAUUUCUUCUCGGUCAAUUCCUAUCAACCAGACCAGUUUUUUCGAUUUACUCUUAAAUGAUUUCCACUGUUUCCGUCAGAUGAGUCUAUUGGUGUGUGUGGUAAGAGUUGGUUGGGAUAAUUGAAAAGUUGAGCCUUAGGGGUUUUCUUAGUUCUUAUCAUUAAUACUUCUUUUUUCUUACAAAAGUUUACAUGAUUCUGGAAAAUUUGGGAGAAAAACCAAGAAAAAAGAUAGAAGAGUAGCGUAAUUCUGCAAACCAUGUUGCAUAUCAUCAGAACAAAGAGAUAGCCUAUGAUUUUGUGGUUUGCUAUGGAAACUGUGGCAUGAAGAAGUUCAGUUCUUUACAUAUCUAUUAUCUUAUUGUUUUGGGAUAUUUGUCCUUUUGAUGGGGUGCCCUGCUGGUAUUGGAUUUUUUGUGUUUCUGUUUCAGCAAGAUUAUGUAGUAUUUGAAGCAUACAAGAUUCUAGAACCUUUGCCCUCCCUGAGGAUGUGGAAUUCAGGAUAACUUGGUUUGGCACUCUUUUGUACUGUCGAUUUGCCAUUCCUUUUGUUAUCUUUUUUUAGUAUAUUAUUGUCAAUUUUGAUAUAUAAAAAUAAAAAUAAGAGUAAGGACAAAAAUAAUAAUAUCAUCCCUCAAGUUGUACAAGAUCUUUGGUGUAGGGGUGCUGUCAAAUUUUGUAUAGGAGGACUAGAAUCUACAAUUGACUGUGUCAUAUUGUCAAAGUCGUUGUUCUUUGAUUUGGUUGUCUCUACUUUUGACUAAAUUGUUCAUGUUUUUGUCUUUUGAUCAUCUUGUGUGGGUAUCACAAGGAGGAUGUAGAGUGAAAGCCAUGACAGAGAUUAUCAAAAAGAGAGCCUAUGAAUGUAUCAUUGGAUGUGAAAGCUGUUGCGGACAUUUUAAGGACAUGCUUUUAUUAAUUCUGGAAUGGGUAUCAAAAAGAGACGUUGGAUUUAGUGGGUGAUUUUUCUCCUUCAAUUUAUUAAUUCUGGAAUGGGUAUCCUGAUAUUGUAAUUUGACAAUAUUGAUUAAUGUGUUUUUUAUUAAAAGUUUAAGGAGGGCUUCAAUAUAUAUGAUUUUGAAAUACACGUACAUUUCUUUCAAAAGAUAAUUUGAGACAUGCGUUCAUCUGUUUACAGAAAGAAUUGAAGCUUAGUUCAGCUAUAGCCUUUUUUGAUACUUAAUGCAUGGAUUAAUUACAGAUUUUGAUCGUAAGGCAUACUAAUGAAUCUUUAACUUAAUUUUCUGCAGCUUGGUGUAUGAAAAUGACAACGUUCUUCAUAGCAUCGAGCCUUCAGUUUUGAUUUUGUGAUCCUUAUUACAUUCUUUUCGUUUCAGUAUUUCCGUAUUGAUUCGGAGAUAAUUUUUUUCUAAUUGUUAUUUCCCUGUUUGGUGUUGCUGGAUAAGUAAAAUGUGAAACGCACAAUUGCUUCUGGUUCUAUCUUACUGUUUGAUCCUUAUUAUUCUCACUCUCUUCUCCUUGAUUAUUUUGGUUUCCUGAAUGAGGUUUUAUUUAUGUUCUUGUUGGUUUUGAGCUUGAAGUUUGCUUUUAUUACUAUGGUUAUUGUAUUUGCUGUUAUUAUUGAGGUUUUAGGGCUUUGAUU